AGGACCGUGAACAAGCGAUCGAGUGGAUGCAAAAGCGGGCUCUUCUGCAGCCGGUUCAAUUGUGCCCGAGAUGUCCAAAGGAAAUGAAGCUAACUCCCUACAAAAGCAUCGACGGCUACAGGUAUGUAUGUCCCGACUACAAAUGCGGCGGGACCAGCAGCAUCCGGACCAGGUCCAUAUUUGCCAACCACAAGGCUUCGCUUAGGAGCCUUGUGCGUUGUUGUUACGAGUGGGCCAAUGGGGCCAACUCAACUCGUUGUGCGUUGGAGACUGGCCUCUCCCACAACACGGUUCUCUCGUGGUACGAUACGAUCCGAAGUUUUCUUUGGGAAACAUUCGAUCGUACACGAGAGAAGAUAGGGGGCCCUGGCAUGACGGUGGAAAUCGACGAAACUGUCAUCACUCGUCGAAAGUACAACGUCGGCCGGGUCGGUAGUUCCGGUCCUCAGUGGCUUGUGGGUGGGAUAUGCCGGGAAAAUAAGGCCAUUUUCCUGGAGCGUGUCCCGAAACGCUCGCUUGCCGUUUUGAGCGAUCUGGUGGUUCGGCAUGUUGAACCCGGAACGAAAAUUAUGACCGAUCUCUGGAAAGGUUAUAAUGGGCUGGAGGAGCUUGGAUAUCCCCACGAAUGUGUCAACCACUCCAGAAAUUUCCUCAAUCCAGAUGAUAACAAUAUCAACACACAACGGAUUGAGAAUGUUUGGAGAUGGUUGAAGGCAUUUUUGAGAAAACAAGGCACUAAUAUUAAAAGCAACAUGGACAAAUAUUUUGCUGAGCAUAUCUUCCGGAAAUGCAAUGAUGAUGUGUUUGUCGCCUUGAUAGAUGCCUUGGGGAACCAAAUCGAACAUUUUUAAUAAUUAGUUUUCUUUUUUUUAAGCAGGUACACUCAAAGCAGAUUCUCAUUUGGUCCAGAGAAGCUUAGCUGCGAAACGGACCCAAGGAGGAGGUUUUGAUGGCACCUUGCUAAGGUGUAUUCUACAUUUCCCCUCCUUGUAAAAAAAAAAGAAAUUAAAUUUUAAAACAAAUCCCUUUCUAAGAUUUUAAGGCAGCGCAGUUGAAAACAUCGAUUUUUUUAUCGGGGGUUUUCCCCUGCGGUAAGUAAUUCUAGAUCAUAGCGAUCGGCUUGCACGAGAUGAUAACCCAAUUUCCUUCGUUUCCUAACACUUUCUAUUUGCAUGCCUCCUGCCGCACGAGCUCGCCGACCUACGCGUCGAUCCGGUUUUAAGUGGCAAGCGGGAUAAGGGAUAGAUCUAGUACACCGCAUACCAUCCGACCGAUUUCCCCAAUCGGUAGCACACCUCACUAGUCGAGGGGGUUUCCCCUGCGCUCGCCGACCUACGCGUCGAUCCGGAUUUAAGUGGCAGCGGGAAAAGGAAUCUACAACGCCAACCAUCCGACAGUGUUCACGAUAAGAAAGGAAACGUCUCUUAUCGUGGGGUUUCCCCUGCGGUAAGUUAUUUCACAUCACCAGUACAAGACGGUAACAAAAUUUGUAAACUUAAAUGUUUCUUUUUUUUUGCAUGUUCCCUACCGCAUGAGUUCGUGCUACAUGUUGGAAUUACACGCGAAAUGAUAGAGAAUCGUUUUUCAGUACACAUGCCACAACACACUAUCGGUAUUCGUUUUCCUUCAUCUAACUGUAAGAAACAGUCACUGCGUAACAUCCUACGAUAGCCAAGCAUAUAGACGAAACAUUAAUGUUGUAUCAUGCUAACCCGUGACAGGCAAGUGCUCAGUAACUCACGCACGUCCUUCAACGCACAGAUCAUGAAACAUCUGGUGAAUGAGAUUGCUGAGCAAAACACUCACCAAACGGAAUAGAAUGGAUGAGUUUAUUUUAUGCAUCAUGUACCUCCCUGUUUGCCUUAUAAUGUGACCAGUGCCUUUUUUUUUCUUUUGUUUAACGUUAGCAAAGGAUUAGUAUUAGUAUUAGUUUGGUUUAAUUAGAUAUAAGAUUUUAUUGUGCUUAAUAUACGCAUGGACUAUUCAAACAUAUAAUUAUGUGUUUGUUGAGCAACACCAUUUGGGUAAAAAAAAAAUAAUUUACGUAUACUCGUGAGAAAGCACGAACUUUGAGUAAUAAUUAACAUCAGAUUUGCUAAUCAUAAAACCAAACGUUGUGUUAGAGCGUAUGUGAGGCCGUUGUUUGUUACGCUCGUUGUGUUGGCUGCGGUUCUCGGGUCGAACAAAAUGCGGACAAGACAAUUGGUUAUAGACAAUCGAUCCUAGCACUUG